GCACACCAUAUCCCAUCCUACUGUAUUUGAACUUUCCAUGAAAACAAUAGCCUGUGGUGAAACAGCUUGUCAUGGAUACUAAUGAAAAAUUGCCCGAGACAUCCUGAUGGGAUUCCUCCUGCAUUCAUUCUGCCCUUAAGGUCUGGGAAUUCAGUGAACACAAAAAGAUUUCAUUAUUGCUUCCCUGAUGUAACCAGGAGGAUUUAAAUAACCGAUGGGGGUGGAUACUCCUUUCUUUCUGACCUGAACCUUAUUGCAAAACACCAAGUGGAUAAAUGUAAAUUCUGAAGUUCCCUGGUUUUCUCCAGGACACACCCAGAAAGAUUCAUCACUCUGACAAAAGUUUAAAUGCCUAUAAUCCAUUUGUAAUGGAGCAUUUGGGAUGGAAUUAUAUAUGGAGAACUAUCCAUUUUGAGGGAAGACUUACGGAAAAACUAUCAGUUCAAUAUGGUAAGUCCAGGGAAAAAGAAAGGAAUGAAUUGGACUCAGCAUCCUGGUGUCAUUUGUUUCCAGUGUUCACUGAGCAUCAUUUUGCUACCUCUGAUCCACUCUACAUCAUAAGAGGUGAUCUUA